GGGGGACGCGUCCCGGGGCCGCCGCCGCCGCCGGGUCUUAGGCGGAGCGGAGAGCAGGAGGACGCGGAGCCGGGCCGCUGGAAGCCGGGGAGCCUCGGCGUCGCCGCCGGCCUGUGCAAACAGACGGACGACGGUGACAGCGCGCAGCCGGCGGGGGAAGGGUGGGAGGGGCCCCCGGGUGCCGGGGGAAUCCCAACGGCUCCAUCUCCCCCCAGUGCAGCUCUGCUGCCCGCAGACCCUUGGACUCAGGAGGCGGCUGGGUGACCCUCUUUCAAAGGCAGGGCAGCCCAGAGGAUUCCUGCCGUCGCCCCUAGGUACCCUGCGACCGUGUGCCAGCCCUGCACACAGAGCCCAGGGAAGCCCGGAGCGGCGUUGUGUGGCCCAGUGUCCUGCAGGCGUAACGUGCACCUGGAUCUUCCCUUGCCUUCACCGUGGAUUCUUGGAGAGUGUCACCUCUGCUAGAUUUCACUGGGACUCGCCACUGUCUGAUGAGAACAUCUGCCCGGUAUUGUAGAGGUUAUAGAGAAUGGAAAUGUUUAUAGCCCGAAAGGAAGAAAUAAGAAACCGUGUGUCCUGUCAGAGAAUGAAGCAAGCAUGGAAUGGGUCUCUGGAUAAAUCAAACACACAGAGUUUGGAUUGAACUGGGAAAGGAUCCUGGGCUAAAAACAAAAGCCUGAAAACACUGACAGAUGAAGCCCAGAACAUUUGGCUGAUCGUUGUAUAUUUGAUGAAGAUUUUGUGUCCUUAGUCUGAAAGACAUUCUAAAAUAUUAUAGAUUUAGUUUCUGCCGAUUCAGUUUCUUCCAAGUAAUCCGCUUAUUUCACAGGUGUGGAGGUGGUUAGAAGUCCUCAUACUGGGUGGUAAAUAAAAUGAUUUCUUCUGUUACAUUUACUGUGGAGACUUGAUGCCUUCUUCUGAAGAAAUAAAGGGCUCAUUCAAUUUUGAGAUAAACUUUUAUUGUUGGGAACUCAAAAAUUCCUUUCACAGGAAAAAUAACAAUGCUAUUUUCAGUUGGGGGGAAAAGGGUUUUAAAUUAAAUUCUAAAAUCCUAUUAUGUGCUUAUUACAUACUAAUGUGAGUUCAUCUUUCUGGUAAAAUGAACACCCAAGCAUGUUUGUAUGCAGUUUAUGCCCGUUCCAAGACUCUAAAAAGCUGGCACAGAUUCGGGCAAGAAAAAUGUGUCUAUUUCCUCUCAAUAUGUCUACUGUUUGAAUUAAAUAUACUGGAGACU